GUCUCGUCUCAAAAAAGAUUCAAUCUAUUUUUAUUACUACUACACCUUUGACAUUAAAACAUUGUUAAACAAGAAUGUAUCCAUAGUACAAGGAUGCCCCACUUGCACCUAUCAUUUUCUUUGUUCAGUGGACUGUAAAAUUGGGGCCAAAACUCUAAUUUGGCAUUAAAAUUAGAAAGAUCAUAUCAUAGGGAACAUGUGAAAAUGUACUAAUUUUCAAGUUGAUUGGACUUAACUUCAUCAAAAACUACCUUGACCAAAAACUUUAAACCAUAAACUUUAACCUGAAGCGCGACAGACGGAUGAACAAACAAAUGAAUGGAUGCACAGACCUAAAAACAUA
rnacentral:lncRNA from 1 species